AACGUAGGUGGCAAGCGUUGUCCGGAUUUAUUGGGUUUAAAGGGUGCGUAGGCGGUUCUGUAAGUCAGUGGUGAAAUACUCCAGCUUAACUGGAGGGGUGCCAAUGAUACUGCAGAACUUGAGUACAGAUGAGGUAGGCGGAAUUGACGGUGUAGCGGUGAAAUGCAUAGAUAUCGUCAAGAACACCUAUAGCGAAGGCAGCUUACUGGGCUGUAACUGACGCUGAGGCACGAAAGUGUGGGGAUCAAACAGG
rnacentral:rRNA from 1 species